CCUACGGGUGGCAGCAGUCGAGAAUCAUUCACAAUGGGGGAAACCCUGAUGCUGCGACGCCGCGUGGGGGAAUGAAGGUCUUCGGAUUGUAAACCCCUGUCAUGUGGGAGCAAAUUAAAAAGCUAGUACAACAAGAGGAAGAGACGGCUAACUCUGUGCCAGCAGCCGCGGUAAUACAGAGGUCUCAAGCGUUGUUCGGAAGCACUGGGCGUAAAGCGUGCGUAGGCUGUUUCGUAAGUCGUGUGUGAAAGGCGCGGGCUCAACCCGCGGACGGCACAUGAUACUGCGAGACUAGAGUGAAGGAGGGGGAGCCGGAAUUCUCGGUGUAGCAGUGAAAUGCGUAGAUAUCGAGAGGAACACUCGUGGCGAAGGCGGGUUCCUGGACAUUAACUGACGCUGAGGCUCGAAAGUGCGGGGAGCAAACAGGAUUAGAUACCCGAGUAGUC
rnacentral:rRNA from 1 species